UUGUGAGCGUUCACGGCCGGUGCUGAGCUGGGAGUUCCUGGUGGAGUGAGGAGUACUGGGAGCAUUAUGUCCGGAGCGACUAAGAAGCGCUACAGCGCUCGAUUAGUCCUUCCUUCCAGCAAAUGUUUUUGAGCACCUGUUAGCGCCAAGGUCUUACGUGGUGGAGCAUCCAGGUUUAAUUUCUCUGGGAAGGAGAAGAACUCAGAGUCCCAUAGAGAAAAUUCUUCAGCUAAAAGGAAGUCAAAAAGAUGGAUUUCCAAAACCAAACGUCUCCUGUAGCAUGUGGAUCUCUGCAAGCAGAGUCUCAUCUUUCAAUUUUAGCUGCAAUAAAGGAAGGAAGGGGACAUGUGUCAUAUCUGAUAUACCUGUGUGGAGACCCCUCAUUUCUGAAGCCACAGCUAAAGAACAUAGUUCCUUGGGAUGGAAUUGGCUAUAUUCUCUAUUUCAUGGGCAGCAAUGCAGCCUGCUAAAAAGCCACAUGUCCUACGUCCCUUGCAAGGGAAGUGUUACAGCCACUGUGGCCAAUGAAAUACAAGUUGAAGUCAUUGCUCUUCAAAGGGAGGUGAAAUUACUAGCACGACCACUUUGUCCUUUCCCCCUAUUUGUUCUUUAUUGUGCCUGAAACAUAGAUGAAGUGGCUGGAGCUGCAAUGGCUGUCUUUCAACUCAGAGGGAUGGAAACCGUAUCCUGUGAUUGCUAGAGCAGAAAGGUGGAAAGAGGUUGGGUUUCUGAUGGCAUUGUGGACCUGUGGUACCAGUCCUGGACUCUUCAUUCAACGAGGAGAAAA